CCGAGUUUACAACUCCCAAACCCAUGUGAACAUACCCAUCGUUGCUUCGGCGGAACGCCCCAGGCGCCUCGUGUGCCCUGGAUCCAGGCGCCCGCCGGGGGACCUUAACUCUUGUUUCUCUUGAGAGUCUUCUGAGUCGUUUUUGCAAAUGAAUA
rnacentral:misc_RNA from 1 species